rnacentral:rRNA from 1 species
AGGAUAAACGCUGGCGGCGUGCAUUAGACAUGCAAGUCGAACGGACUUCUCGGGGCUUGCUCUGAGAAGUUAGUGGCGGACGGCUGAGUAACGCGUAGGUGACCUACCCCGAAGUGGGGAAUAACUGCCCGAAAGGGUGGCUAAUACCGCAUGCGAUCGUAUGUUCAUUUGUACGAUCAAAGCAGCAAUGCGCUUCGGGAGGGGCCUGCGUCCGAUUAGCUCGUUGGUGGGGUAAUGGCUCACCAAGGCGACGAUCGGUAGGUGGUCUGAGAGGACGAUCACCCAGACUGGGACUGAGACACGGCCCAGACUCCUACGGGAGGCAGCAGUCGGGAAUUUUGCUCAAUGGGCGCAAGCCUGAAGCAGCAACGCCGCGUGAGGGAUGAAGGCCUUCGGUUGUAAACCUCUUUUAUCAGGACGAUAAUGACGGUACCUGAUGAAUAAGCCACGGCUAACUACGUGCCAGCAGCCGC